UACGUAGGGUGCGAGCGUUAAUCGGAAUUACUGGGCGUAAAGCGUGCGCAGGCGGUUCGUUGUGUCGGUGGUGAAAUCCCCGGGCUUAACCUGGGAAUGGCCAUGGAAACUGGCGAACUGGAGUGCGGCAGAGGGGGGUGGAAUUCCGCGUGUAGCAGUGAAAUGCGUAGAGAUGCGGAGGAACACCUAUGGCGAAGGCAGCUCUCUGGGACGGUACUGACGCUGAGACGCGAAAGCGUGGGGAGCGAACAGG
rnacentral:rRNA from 1 species